CUACUGGGGUAUCUAAUCCUGUUUGCUCCCCACGCUUUCGCACCUCAGCGUCAGUAUCGAGCCAGUGAGCCGCCUUCGCCACUGGUGUUCCUGCGAAUAUCUACGAAUUUCACCUCUACACUCGCAAUUCCACUCACCUCUCUCGACCUCAAGACUGGAAGUAUUGAAGGCAGUUCCGGGGUUGAGCCCCGGGAUUUCACCCCCAACUGUCCAGUCCGCCUACGUGCGCUUUACGCCCAGUAAUUCCGAACAACGCUAGCCCCCUUCGUAUUACCGCGGCUGCUGGCAC
rnacentral:rRNA from 1 species